GACGAACACAACCCCACCCUCCCGUUCUCCGGCGAACGAGACGACACUCCGCUCGGCUCGCUCGGACUCAGGCGAGAUGGAAGCCGCGUCCUUGCCGCUCGCCACCUCCCGCUUCCUCUCCCCGCCAGCGGCUGCGGCGUCCUGCUCCCGCACGAGGAGCCUCCCUUUCGUCCGCGCCGCCAAUCAGGCACUGGAAGCACGUAAAGUCCCCAAAGCCCAGCGGCCGUCACCCCGGCGCAACGCCGUCGCUGAGGUCAAGGCCGCCCCCGACCCCGUCGCUGCCCUAACCAGGCUCGAAGAUGUGUUGCAGACACAGGACUGCAACAUAAUCUUGCGCCACUAUGGAGAAAUCAGGCGAUGGGAUGUGCUUUCUAAGGUCUUCGGGUGGAUGCAGGAGCAUGACAUGCUCAACAUUGCGUCUUACAGCAGCUAUUUCAAGUACCUGGGGUUGAGCCGUAAUGCUGCGAAAGCUCUGCAAGUGUACGGUUCCAUUCAGGACCAGUCGACCAGAGUCAAUGUUUCUGUUUGUAAUUCUCUUCUCGGGUGCUUGGUGAAGAACGGGAGAUCCGACAGCACCUUCAAGCUUUAUGAUGAGAUGAUACGAGGAGGUCUAUCACCUGAUCUCUUCACCUACAGUACUCUGCUGUCAGGGUGCAUGAAGUUGAAGCACGGGUACGCUAAGGCAAUGGAGUUGAUCAAUGAGCUCAACUCACGCGGUCUUCAGAUGGAUAGUGUAAUAUAUGGUACCCUCUUGGCAAUAUGUGCAUCUCAUAACUACUGUGAGGAAGCUGAGGCAUACUUCAAGAAAUUGAAGGAUAAAGGCCAUAAUCCUAAUCUGUUUCACUACAGUUCCCUGUUGAACGCGUAUUCAGUAAAUUCUUAUUAUGAAAAAGCUGAGCUGUUGAUGAAAGAUUUGAGGUCUUCUGGUUUAACACCAAAUAAGGUUAUACUGACCACUUUGUUGAAGGUAUAUUCUAAAGGUGGUCUGUUUGAGAAGGCUAAGGAGUUGCUAACUGAAUUGGAAGCCUCAGGCUUUGCACAGGAUGAGAUGGCAUAUUGCAUAUUGAUUGAUGCACUUGCCAAAGGAGGAAAGAUAUGGGAAGCAACAAUGGUGUUCAAUGAAAUGAAAGAAAAAGGUGUCAAGUCUGAUGGCUAUGCAUUUAGUAUCAUGAUUUCAGCAUUACAUCGAAGUGGUUAUCGUGAAGAAGCAAAAAAUCUUGCAAAAGAAUUUGAGGAUCAGAAUGCCACAUAUGAUCUUGUUAUGCUUAACACAUCACUUCGUGCUUACUGCAAUACAUAUGAUACGGAAAGUGUAAUGAGAAUGCUGAAGAAAAUGGAUGAGUUGAAUAUAUCACCUGAUGAUAUCACGUUUAAUACCUUAAUAAGGUACUUCUGCAAGGCAAAGGUCUAUCACCUAGCAUACAAGACGAUUGUAGAUAUGCAUACGAAAGGCCAUCAACUGAAUGAGGAGCUUUGUUCUGAGGUAAUGGUGCAGCUAGGAGAAGCAGGUUUUCCUUCUGAAGCGUUUUCUGUGUAUAAUAUGAUGAGAUAUAGUAAGAGAACAGUUUGUAAAUCUCUUCACGAGAAGGUUUUAGGCAUCUUAGUUCCAGCAGGACUUCUGAAGGAUGCCUAUAUAGUUAUUAAGGACAAUGGAGAGUCGAUAUCUCCACGCUCUUUGGAGAAAUUUGCUACACAAUUCAUGAUCUCUGGCAACAUAAAUUUGAUUAACGAUGUUAUGAAAGCCCUAAACCAUUCAGGAUGGCGUAUAAGCCAGGAAACCUUUGGUAGAGCAAUUCAGCGAUACAUCCAGAAGCCCGAUAAGAAGCAACUAUUGUUAUGCCUCUUGGACUGGAUGACUGGUCAAGGCUAUUCCGUGGACUCAUCAUCAAGGAACUUGGUUUUGAAAAAUGCACAACUCUUUGGCCAAAAACAACUGAUAGCAGAAAUCCUUUCAAAGCAGCAAGCAGCUUCAAGGAUAACAAAUAAGCUCAUUGAUUAACACAAAAUUUAAUCAAAUCGAAGUAGUUCAGAUUCAUCAUAUAAUGUUCCGGAGAUAGUUUUUUGAUGAUCGACGAUACCAAAUUCACAAGGGUCUGUCAGGUUACAAGUUAUCAUCCUCAUGUUUCCAGGCUACAAGCAAAACUUGUUGAGUUUCAGAUUAUGCCAGGCUAUUCAAUUCAGCGAGGUCACCCACUAGAACUGCAACUGGGAUUGAGGAUGACAACCGGUCUUGCAGUGAUGUUAAUAUUGGAUCUUGGAAUGGCUAAGAGGAACGGAAGUAAGUUAAUAGUUACAUUUCUUGAUAACUUCAUCUGUGCAAGUUGCUCAAAUUUGGUGGUUGUGCGAUUGGCAUUAUGUUCUUGCUGGAAACAAGUGCGUAGUUCUGGAAAGCUGAACUGAAGAUUUUUAAUCUUUUGGGGUGUUGCUGUACAUGCUUUUCUGUAAAAGCAUAGUGAAACAUGGAAAGUGCAUGUAGCGACCCGACCUCAAACGGUCAAGGCUAUGUGUAUCUGUGCCAUCCUUGGAUCGGUAUGCUGGCACAUACAGUACAUCAAUGUAUAUAUCAAAGUGCAAUCACAUAUAUAAAUAACG
rnacentral:rRNA from 1 species